CCCAGCACGGGGAGGUAGUGACAAAAAAUAACGAUACGGGACUCAUCCGAGGCCCCGUAAUCGGAAUGAAUACACUUUAAAUCCUUUCAUGAGGAUCCAUUGGAGGGCAAGCCUGGUGCCAGCAGCCGCGGUAAUUCCAGCUCCAAUAGCGUAUAUUAAAGUUGUUGCGGUUAAAAAGCUCGUAGUUGGUUCUGUGUGCCAUGCUGUUGGUUCACCGCCUGUCGGUGCUACUAACAUGUCAUGGAACGUCUUGUCGGUGGUAAUUAGAGACUUAUUUUUUAAUAAAAGUUUUACUUUUAUUAAAUAUAGGUUCCUUUAAUUGCCGAUUAGUUCCUACCGCGGUGCUCUUCAUUGAGUGUCGAGGUCGGCCGACAAGUUUACUUUGAACAAAUUAGAGUGCUUAAAGCAGGCAAAAUUCUGCCUUGAAUAGUGGUGCAUGGAAUAAUAGAAUAGGAUCUUGGUUCUAUUUUGCUGGUUUUCUGAAUCCAAGGUAAUGAUCAAUAUGGACAGGCGGGGGCAUUCGUAUUGCGACGUUAGAGGUGAAAUUCUUGGAUCGUCGCAAGACGAACUAGAGCGAAAGCAUUUGCCAAGUAUGUCUUAAUUGAUCAAGAACGAAAGUUAGAGGUUCGAAGGCGAUCAGAUACCGCCCUAGUUCUAACCAUAAACGAUGUCAGCUAGCGAUCCGCCGAUGUUUUUCUCAUGACUCGACGGGCAGCUUCUCGAGAAAUCCAAGCUUUUCGAUUCCGGGGGAAGUAUGGUUGCAAAGCUGAAACUUAAAGGAAUUGACGGAAGGGCACCACCAGGAGUGGAGCUUGCGGUUUAAUUUGACUCAACACGGGAAAACCUCACUAGGCCCCAGACAUUGGAAAGGAUUGACAGAAUUGAUAGCUUCUUUCUUAAUUCAGUGGGGUAGUGGUGCA
rnacentral:rRNA from 1 species